rnacentral:rRNA from 4 species
GAGUAAUGUCUGGGAAACUGCCUGAUGGAGGGGGAUAACUACUGGAAACGGUGGCUAAUACCGCAUAACGUCGCAAGACCAAAGAGGGGGACCUUCGGGCCUCUUGCCAUCAGAUGUGCCCAGAUGGGAUUAGCUAGUUGGUGAGGUAACGGCUCACCAAGGCGACGAUCCCUAGCUGGUCUGAGAGGAUGACCAGCCACACUGGAACUGAGACACGGUCCAGACUCCUACGGGAGGCAGCAGUGGGGAAUAUUGCACAAUGGGCGCAAGCCUGAUGCAGCCAUGCCGCGUGUAUGAAGAAGGCCUUCGGGUUGUAAAGUACUUUCAGCGGGGAGGAAGGUGUUGUGGUUAAUAACCGCAGCAAUUGACGUUACCCGCAGAAGAAGCACCGGCUAACUCCGUGCCAGCAGCCGCGGUAAUACGGAGGGUGCAAGCGUUAAUCGGAAUUACUGGGCGUAAAGCGCACGCAGGCGGUCUGUCAAGUCGGAUGUGAAAUCCCCGGGCUCAACCUGGGAACUGCAUUCGAAACUGGCAGGCUUGAGUCUUGUAGAGGGGGGUAGAAUUCCAGGUGUAGCGGUGAAAUGCGUAGAGAUCUGGAGGAAUACCGGUGGCGAAGGCGGCCCCCUGGACAAAGACUGACGCUCAGGUGCGAAAGCGUGGGGAGCAAACAGGAUUAGAUACCCUGGUAGUCCACGCCGUAAACGAUGUCUACUUGGAGGUUGUGCCCUUGAGGCGUGGCUUCCGGAGCUAACGCGUUAAGUAGACCGCCUGGGGAGUACGGCCGCAAGGUUAAAACUCAAAUGAAUUGACGGGGGCCCGCACAAGCGGUGGAGCAUGUGGUUUAAUUCGAUGCAACGCGAAGAACCUUACCUGGUCUUGACAUCCACAGAACUUUCCAGAGAUGGAUUGGUGCCUUCGGGAACUGUGAGACAGGUGCUGCAUGGCUGUCGUCAGCUCGUGUUGUGAAAUGUUGGGUUAAGUCCCGCAACGAGCGCAAC